AUUUAAGUAGUUUAAUUAAAAAUAUUGAUUUGUGAUAUCAGUGAUGUAUGGAAAUAUGCCUUAGAUA
rnacentral:tRNA from 1 species